ensembl:piRNA 21ur-2989 ncRNA
UGGUAGAAACACAUUUAGAAU